rnacentral:rRNA from 1 species
AGGAUUCUCGAAAACGACACCUAAGUUUUCUGGAAAGGAAUGCCACAGAGGGUGAUAGCCCCGUACGGUGUUGACUCGAUACAGAGUCCUAACAUGGAGUCGAGUUGUUUGGGAAUGCAGCUCAAAUGGGUGGUAUGCUCCAUCUAAGGCUAAAUAUUUGCGAGAGACCGAUAGCGAACAAGUACUGUGAAGGAAAGAUGAAAAGAACUUUGAAAAGAGAGUGAAAUAGUACGUGAAAUUGUUGAAAUGGAAGGGUAGGCCGCUAACCAUGUAGGACCGUGUUUGGGGGG